rnacentral:rRNA from 1 species
AGAGUUUGAUCCUGGCUCAGGACGAACGCUGGCGGCGUGCCUAAUACAUGCAAGUCGAACGAAGCUUUCUUUCACCGAAUGCUUACAUUCACCGAAAGAAGCUUAGUGGCGAACGGGUGAGUAACACGUAGGCAACCUGCCCAAAAGAGGGGGAUAACACUUGGAAACAGGUGCUAAUGCCGCAUAACCAUGAACACCGCAUGAUGUUCAUGUAAAAGACGGCUUUUGCUGUCACUUUUGGAUGGGCCUGCGGCGUAUUAACUUGUUGGUGGGGUAACGGCCUACCAAGGUGAUGAUACGUAGCCGAACUGAGAGGUUGAUCGGCCACAUUGGGACUGAGACACGGCCCAAACUCCUACGGGAGGCAGCAGUAGGGAAUCUUCCACAAUGGACGAAAGUCUGAUGGAGCAACGCCGCGUGAAUGAAGAAGGCCUUCGGGUCGUAAAAUUCUGUUGUCAGAGAAGAACGUGCGUGAGAGUAACUGUUCACGUAUUGACGGUAUCUGACCAGAAAGCCACGGCUAACUACGUGCCAGCAGCCGCGGUAAUACGUAGGUGGCGAGCGUUGUCCGGAUUUAUUGGGCGUAAAGGGAACGCAGGCGGUCUUUUAAGUCUGAUGUGAAAGCCUUCGGCUUAACCGAAGUAGUGCAUUGGAAACUGGAAGACUUGAGUGCAGAAGAGGAGAGUGGAACUCCAUGUGUAGCGGUGAAAUGCGUAGAUAUAUGGAAGAACACCAGUGGCGAAAGCGGCUCUCUGGUCUGUAACUGACGCUGAGGUUCGAAAGCGUGGGUAGCAAACAGGAUUAGAUACCCUGGUAGUCCACGCCGUAAACGAUGAGUGCUAAGUGUUGGAGGGUUUCCGCCCUUCAGUGCUGCAGCUAACGCAUUAAGCACUCCGCCUGGGGAGUACGGUCGCAAGACUGAAACUCAAAGGAAUUGACGGGGGCCCGCACAAGCGGUGAGCAUGUGGUCUAAUUCGAAGCAACGCGAAGAACCUUACCAGGUCUUGACAUCUUCUGACAAUUCCAGAGAUGGAACGUUCCCUUCGGGGACAGAAUGACAGGUGGUGCAUGGUUGUCGUCAGCUCGUGUCGUGAGAUGUUGGGUUAAGUCCCGCAACGAGCGCAACCCUUAUUGUCAGUUGCCAUCAUUAAGUUGGGCACUCUGGCGAGACUGCCGGUGACAAACCGGAGGAAGGUGGGGAUGACGUCAAAUCAUCAUGCCCCUUAUGACCUGGGCUACACACGUGCUACAAUGGACGGUACAACGAGUCGCUAACUCGCGAGGGCAAGCUAAUCUCUUAAAGCCGUUCUCAGUUCGGAUUGCAGGCUGCAACUCGCCUGCAUGAAGUCGGAAUCGCUAGUAAUCGCGAAUCAGCAUGUCGCGGUGAAUACGUUCCCGGGCCUUGUACACACCGCCCGCCACACCAUGAGAGUUUGUAACACCCAAAGUCGGUGGGGUAACCUUUUGGAGCCAGCCGCCUAAGGUGGGACAGAUGAUUGGGGUGAAGUCGUAACAAGGUA